UACAGAGGGUGCAAGCGUUGUUCGGAAUUAUUGGGCGUAAAGGGCGCGUAGGCGGUGCGGUAAGUCUGUAGUGAAAUCUCUGGGCUCAACUCAGAGUCUGCUGCAGAAACUGCCGUGCUUGAGUGUGGGAGAGGUGAGUGGAACUGCGAGUGUAGAGGUGAAAUUCGUAGAUAUUCGCAAGAACACCGGUGGCGAAGGCGGUUCUCUGGGCCUUACCUGACGCUGAGGAGCGAAAGCGUGGGGAGCAAACAGG
rnacentral:rRNA from 1 species